AUUGAACGCUGGCGGCACGCCUAACACAUGCAAGUCGAGCGGCAGCGCGAUAUGUAGCAAUACAUAUUGGCGGCGAGCGGCGGACGGGUGAGGAACACGUAGGAACCUACCCUCGAGUGGGGGAUAACCAAGGGAAACUUUGGCUAAUACCGCAUGAAUUCGAGAGAGCAAAGCUGCCGCAAGGUGGCGCUCGAGGAGGGGCCUGCGUCCGAUUAGCUAGUUGGUGAGGUAAGAGCUCACCAAGGCGAUGAUCGGUAACUGGUCUGAGAGGACGACCAGUCACACUGGGACUGAGACACGGCCCAGACUCCUACGGGAGGCAGCAGUGGGGAAUAUUGGACAAUGGGGGCAACCCUGAUCCAGCGAUGCCGCGUGAGUGAAGAAGGCCUUCGGGUCGUAAAGCUCUUUAGGUUGGGAAGAAGGGUGAUGGAGGAAAUGCUAUCACUAUGACGGUACCGACAGAAUAAGCACCGGCAAACUCUGUGCCAGCCGCCGCGGUAAUAC
rnacentral:rRNA from 1 species